GCAACUGGCGCUGGGUAGGCAAAGCCGGGAGAAACUGCUGAGACGAGCUCUGGGUGUCUCCCUUGAAGUCAGGCCCUGACUAUCUGGGUCUGUGAGCCCUAUGGGGGCAGGAACUGCAUGCCUGGCAAGGGCCUGGCCCAGAGCCCCUUGAGAAGACAGAUACCAGAUCCCUAUCAGGAGGAAGAGGAGAAGCCAGCUUGGACCACACUGCCCAGGCUUCCGGCAAGCAAUGGCCUCAGAUGGUGGGAGCCUCAGUACCUGCUGGGUACUGACCCUUUCCCUGUGCUGGGCAGAGCGGCUGCUGCUGGAUGCUAGGCACUAGAAAGCCCAGACUGACUACAGGAGACCCUGCUGGAGCUCCUAUUAAUGAUGAGAUGCAAAGGGCAGGUCGGGGAGGCAAGAGAAGGGUUCGCCCAGCUGUACCUGCCCAUCCUCAACACCUUAAAGCCAUUGUAUCAUUGUUGUUCAGUCGCUCAGUCAUGUUCAACUCUUCGAGACCCCAUGGACUGCAGCACGCCAGACUCCCCUGUCCUAUACCAUCUCCAGGAGUUUGCUCAAACUCAUGUCCAUUGAGUUCAUGAUGCCAUCCAACCAUCUCAUUGAGUCCCCACCAUACCUCGUUGGAGGCAGCGCUGUUGUACCCACAUUUUGCAAAUGAGCAAACUGCGGCCACAAAGCUAGUGAGGGCAGAGCCUGGACGUACCCCGUCCCCCCUCUCCUGCGGCCAAACCCAAUGGCCCCCGCCUCUCUGAGAAGGAUGACAGGGAGGUGCGGGGAACGGAGAUGUUUCGGUAGCAACUGCCGUGAGACCUUCUAGGCAGACACAUUGUCAUGGAGAGUCUUGAGAACGCUUUUUUGUGUGGUGUGCAAAGGAAUUCGCUUUUGGUGUCUCUGAGAGAUCGUCGGGAAGAUUUAAACUGCUUUGCAAUGAUUUGGGGAUGUCAGGCUGAUAUUGCUUUUGAACAUAACAUUGUGACGAGACUGGGCCCCAAGGCAGCCCAGUUUUAUUCAGGUUACGGUAAUAAUAGUCGCCACAGCAGCAACUAAAGCCAUUUUCACGGCCUGAGCACUCACCAUGGGCUCAGUGCCGGGCUCAGCCUUGAUUGGAUGCAAGCUCUCUCACCACCAGCUUGAGAGAGCGUUGACUCUCAUCCUCGGGGUAUUCCCUUAUAGCUGAUACCUAAACCUGUUUGUCUCCACACUCACUGUUUCCCCUGUGAGGCAGUGAGCUUGGUGAAGGCCCCAGUCUGGUCUCUCCCAUUCACUGCUGAGUCCCCAGUACCCAGCACCAGCUCCUCAAGGAGCAGCUGGACAUUAAAGCUUGGCUGGACACAUUUCAGAUGAAGAGGCUGAGGGUCAGAGAGGUCACAUAGCUUGCCAGGAGGGAAUCCUAGGUUUCUGUGGCUUGAGAGCCCAGAAUCACCAACUCACAUGGCAGCUUGAAAGACCCUCUUGAAAAGUCCCUGCCUCAAGAAAGCCACAGAGCACAAGUCUCCCCACCCUCACCCCCUGCCCCCUGGUCUCCACUCUUGUUCUAAACCCCAGGAGGCUUCUGACUUGAAUCUGCCCCCUCUGCACCUCUUGCUUGCUUCCCAGGGAAUUGGAUGGAAGGUAGUCUGAGUUAGCUCAGGCUUGGGGAAGCUGUAUUCUGCUGAAAUUGCCCAGUGUUUUGGGUGGGACGUGAUUCAGAUUUUCCUUCCUGGUCACAUUGGUUCCCACUUGAGAGGUCUUUGAAGUGGGGAUGACUUUACUGGGUGAUUCUUGGCCUGCUUAAUUCAUAGGCACACUUGAUCUUUGCUGCUCCUCUCUGGGAGGGGGCCCCUGGUUCUGAGGGGUUUAAGUCCCGCAGGGAGGCCAGGGGUUAUAAAUCCAAGAUGCUCUUGGUUAAGAGCUUGAUUCUGUCACUGAGUGAUCCUGGGAGCCUCAUUUGGCCUCUCUGAGCCUUGACUGACUCUUUCAUAAAAGGGAGACAUGCAUGGGGAAUAUCUAUCUUGAAUACUGGCUGUCGGUGGGGGAAAAAGAGGUCAAGUUUUCUUUUAUUUAUUUUGGGGCUGCACUGCGCCGCAUGUGGGAUCCUACUUCCCUGGCCAGGGAUCAAACCUGCACCCCCUGCAUUGGAAGCACAGAGUCUUAACCACUGGACCACCAGGGAAGCCCCAAGUGUUCUCUUUUGCAAAAAAAAAUCACAUUCUCCACAAGUCAUAGACUAUGUUUAUCCUGUACUUUAAGAAAUGUUAGUUUAGGGCUUCCCAGGGGGUUAAGAAUCUGCUGCCAAUGCACCGGACAAGGGUUCCAUCCCUGGUCCAGGAAGAUCCCACAUACCUCAGGGUAACUAAGCUGUGAGGCAAAACUACUGAAGUGUGCGCACUCUGGAGCCGCAUGCUCUGGAGCAAGCGAAGCCAACGCAAGGAGACGCCUGAGCACCAAAACUGGUGAGUUUCGCCGCGACUAGAGAAAGCCCUUGUGCAGCAGCCAAGACCCAGCACCACCAAAAAUAGAGAAAUAAAAUUUAGGGGGGAAAGAAGAAAUGUUAGUUAAAAAAAAAAAUCUGAACACCAAACAGUCCCUGAGUCCCUGCUGCGUGCACAGCCUUGCAUCAGAGUUGGUCUGGAGAGUGGUAACCCCGUUGUGGGCAUGUCCUUGCUCAGGCUGUCCUCACAGCAAACCUGAAAUGCCAGGGACCAGGAUCGCCACUUCCAGAGAGAAGAGGCAGGCACAGAGAGGGGACCUGACGUGCUUAAGGUUCCACACUGAGAAACUAAAGAGCCUGGCUUUGGAGCUGAGCACUCUGUUCUACCGAUGAACAGAAACGUGAGUCGUGAUGGCAGGGCUCGAAGGGCGCUCUCACGGCACAGAGACCACCCUGGGCUGCCCCUGCCUGGGAGGAGCUGUGUCUCCUGGGAGAGAGGGACACACGGACAGACCAGAGAAGCGUGUGGUGUCAGAGGGGCCACCCAAGGCUGCAUAGCUGAUCCGUCUCCUAAAGGAGCACCAGAGAAGACCCCAGGGGGAGCUUGCUUUAAAAAAGUCCCCUGGGAGACAUCUCUGGAGGUCCAGCAGGUGACUCCACGCUUCCACUGCGUGGAGCAUGGUUUCCAUCACUGGUUGUGGACCUAAGAUAUCACCUGGAGUGGCAAAAAAAAAAAAAGAAGAGUCCCCUGGUUGGUGCACUGACACCAGUUCUAGCCCUUCGCCAUGGCCGAUGGAUAGUGCAUAUUUCUUUUACCUCAAAAUGAGCUCCUCCUGAGCUGUAUUUGAAGCCCAGCUAGCUUGUCCUUCACUGUGAUUUUCUAGCCCAUGGUCACAGGAUCUCUGGACAGGGGGCUCCAGUUCCUGCUACUCAGACCCAUGGGAAUCAUUUUUAAAGAAGUGACUGUGCCCUUCCCUGCUCCAUCCAAAGGUGACUUCAAGUCCCUCCUGGAAGGUCAGCUUCCAGUGGUCAAGAAUCUGGAGUCCCCACUCCAACAGGGUUUCUCCAGAAGGCGGAAGCACAUGGCCGGGGCUGUGAGGUGAAGUUGUCAGUUGCUCACACUGAUCACAACUCACCUGUAUCCUUCGGACUUUAGAGCUGCCAGCCACCGUUAACCUCUGAGCGCUCCUGACCAGAACCUCCAGGGCCUGGCACCUGCCGUG
ensembl:lncRNA